ACACAACCACAAACAUAAAUGCUAACACACCUAUAAACAUAACAUCAAUGCACCUAACCUAUUUACUUACCCACACAUCUAAUCGAUGCAUCUUGUUUGUGACCAUUCUCCUCUGAGGUAAACAAUUAAUCAUGUGUUAAUUAGACCGAGUAGGUCUGAGGGGGAUAAGGGUUAAUGUGUUAGUAAUCACCUAACCUAGACCUUGAAUCUACACCCCCUAACCUUCUAAAUCAUAGACCCAUAAUCCAUAACCCUUCUAAAGACGUAUUGUGAUUUAUUCCCAUUACUCUGCAUGUCAAAGUGAAGAAAUUAAAUCAAGCGUGAGUAAACGACGGGAGUAACUAUGACUCUCUUAAGGUAGCCAUAUGCCUCACCAUCUAAUUAGUGACGCACAUGAAUGGAUUAAAGAGAUUCCCAUUGUCCCUAGAUAAUAUCUAGAGAAACCACAUCCAAGGGAAUGGGCUUGGCAGAAUUAGCGGGGAAAGAAGACCCUGUUUCAGGAUAAAUUCGUGAGUGCGGACACAGACCAAUCUCCCUAGAUCCACCUGGAUCUAGAACAAAGCAAGACAGAUUACUACUCUUUCCCUAGAUCUAGAUUAUUGAAUGAACUAAGAGAAAUGGAUAAUGGACAUACCUUAUGAACGCUCUCCUUAAAUCUCUGUUGUUCCUUGCUCCGCUUC
rnacentral:ncRNA from 1 species